AGCUCACUCGCCAUUUAAAAAGUCGAUAGAUAGUCGAAGUUCAAAGGUUAGUCAGAGUUUUAAUCGCUACGAGGCCACGCCUAAGUUCGCAUCGUACACUGCACGGCUCGCUGCAGCCGCUGAAUUUCAGACAAUCCCAAAGCUGCGAAGUAACGAUGUUCCUAAACAUGCAUCGUCAAAGUAACAUUACCAACUUCAAACUCACGAAACUUCAGGGUACCACAGCGCUUUAUUUCCUCACCUGCGAUGCUAAAGCGAGGCGAAUAAAACGUCAGUAUGCAACAGCAGGGUAAACAAUUCGGGAUGUCGGCAGCGACUCGCGAGGCUCGAACGCGCUACUUGGGUCGUUCACUCGACACUGGACUCUCCUCUCACCUCCUUCCUAGCUCGGUUCUUCGUGUCUUCGCC